rnacentral:rRNA from 1 species
CAGAGGGUGCGAGCGUUAAUCGGAAUUACUGGGCGUAAAGCGUGCGUAGACGGUUAUCUAAGUCGGAUGUGAAAGCCCCGGGCUCAACCUGGGAAUUGCAUUCGAGACUGAAUAGCUAGGGUGCGGUAGAGGGAAGCGGAAUUUCCGGUGUAGCGGUGAAAUGCGUAGAUAUCGGAAGGUACAUCAGUGGCGAAAGCGGCUUCCUGGACCAGCACCGACGUUCAGGCACGAAAGCGUGGGGAGCAAACAGGAUUAGAUACCCUGGUAGUCCACGCCAUAAACGAUGAGGACUAGACGUUGGAGGGUUAAGCCUUUCAGUGUCGUAGCUAACGCGCUAAGUCCUCCGCCUGGGGAGUACGGCCGCAAGGUUG